ACCUGGCCUCAAGCAAUCUUCCCACUUCGGCCUCCCAAAGUGCUGGGAUUACAGGAGGAGGGGCACUGCACCUGGCCUAGGGAACACACUCUGAAGGGCUGGCUGUGGCCCUGGGUUUGGGAAACACUCAUGUCUUUGCCUUUCUGCUCCGUCCCAGAUACCAGAGAGCCCUCAGGCAACGAUGAGGGAGACGGAAUCCCCUGGCUGGAGGGUAUGGCUGGAGCUUUGCAGGGCCCAGUGCUGACCUCCUCUGGUUGUAAAAAUCUACAAGGAGCUAUGACGCCAAAGGAAUCCAACACAAAAGGUAAAUUCCUGAGCGAGGCCCGGCCCCCACGGGCUUCUGGACUCGGACGUGUUUGUUCUGCCAGAAGGAUCCCGCCUUGACUGCUGCUGCCACUUGGAACCUGGCCGUUACCCUCAAAGGCUGCAACUGGACCCUCGCGGGGCGGGGGGACUGGCAACUAUACGUGACAUGGUUUUAUCUGUGACCUAAAUUAAAACACAUUGUGAUUGCAGCCCCUGCCAAUCAGGAAUGCGACCAGCCCAGGGGAUUCAAUUAAAAUGCUAAAUUAAUUCAAUUGAA